rnacentral:lncRNA from 1 species
AAGAAAAGGCUACUGUAAGAGCAUGGAUGAGAUAUUUGAAAAAUGUAUAAAAAUAUUUCAAGUAUAGAAUAUGAACUAAAAGUAUGAUCACUGCGAUUAUGUGAUGACGUGAUUAGACUAUGUGCUGACUGUAAUAGACAGUACUAUGUGUUAUGAUAUAUUGUUCUAAUCGAACGAAUGAUCUGAUUAUUGAUAGGUUAUGAUAAAGAGAUAAAACCUAAGUUAAGAUUUGUAAUCAGCGAAUCAGGCAAAUAUCUUACCUUUGCAUUUCCUUUAUGCCAUGGACAUGAGUAAGAAGUUUCAGAAUUAUUCUAUUCCUGUACAGAUUAUGUACGCUUUGAUUAUCAACAUGUUAACUCAAAUAUAUAUUCUGUUAAGUUGAUUUCUAAAUGGUUAUACAAGUGUCCCCACUUGGAUAAUCAUGGCAUUUAUUCACAUGUUGAUAUACCUUUGUCAAUUACCCGUAUAUAUAUAUGUUGAAUUACAUAUUAUUGUUGAGCAAGAUUAAAAACCUUCGGGUUUGGAACCAGGCAUGUAUGAAC